rnacentral:sRNA from 12 species
AAGCGUUGAAGCAUAAUAGCGUACCGGGAUGCCUUGUUAUGCAGAGCUUUUCAGUAGGGGUUGUGCAGUAACCUCAAACCGGAGUAGGCUGCAAAGCCGAAAGAAAAUGCUCAAA